rnacentral:rRNA from 1 species
GUGUCAGCCGCCGCGGUAAAACCAGCACCUCAAGUGGUCAGGAGGAUUAUUGGGCCUAAAGCAUCCGUAGCCGGCUCUGUAAGUUUUCGGUUAAAUCCAUGUGCUCAACGCAUGGGCUGCCGAAAAUACUGCAUAGCUAGGGAGUGGGAGAGGUAGACGGUACUCGGUAGGAAGGGGUAAAAUCCUUUGAUCUAUCGAUGACCACCUGUGGCGAAGGCGGUCUACCAGAACACGUUCGACGGUGAGGGAUGAAAGCUGGGGGAGCAAACCGGAUUAGAUACCCGGGUAGUCCCAGCUGUAAACGAUGCAGACUCGAUGAUGCAUUGGCAUAUAGCCAGUGCAGUGUCGCAGGGAAGCCGUUAAGUCUGCCGCCUGGGAAGUACGUACGCAAGUAUGAAACUUAAAGGAAUUGGCGGGGGAGCACCACAAGGGGUGAAGCCUGCGGUUCAAUUGGAGUCAACGCCAGAAAUCUUACCCGGAGAGACAGCAGAAUGAAGGUCAAGCUGAAGACUUUACCAGACAAGCUGAGAGGUGGUGCAUGGCCGUCGCCAGCUCGUGUCGUGAGAUGUCCUGUUAAGUCAGGUAACGAGCGAGAUCCUCGCCACUAGUUGCUAUCAUUAUUCUCAGGAAUAGUGGGGCGAAUUAGUGGGACUGCCGUCGUUAAAACGGAGGAAGGAGGGGGCUACGGCAGGUCAGUAUGCCCCGAAACUCUGGGGCCACACGCGGGCUGCAAUGGUAGCGACAAUGAGCUCCAAACUCGAAAGAGAGUGGCAAUCUCUAAACGCUACCACAGUUAUGACUGAGGGCUGUAACUCGCCCUCACGAAUAUGGAAUCCCUAGUAACCGCGUGUCAUUACCGCGCGGUGAAUACGUCCCUGCUCCUUGCACACACCGCCCGUC